rfam:Myotis lucifugus cont2.137, whole genome shotgun sequence.
GAGACACCCUUCUGGGGCAAGACUUGCUUCAGUGGGGCUUUGGUGCUCACUGAGUCUGCCCCCUGAGUGUGUCCCU